CUGCUUCCUGGGCGCCGUGGGCGCGGACUGCGCGGGCUGCGCGGGUGCCGAGGAGCGCGAGGCGCGGGGAAGGCGCACCUGGGGUGGCCCUGGCGUGCGGGCGGCGACAUGGAGGACGGCGUGCUCAAGGAGGGCUUCCUGGUCAAGAGGUUUCUUUCAAGAUUUAAAACCAGAGAAAUGGCCAAAUAGGAACUAGAAGGGCCACAUUGUCCACAACUGGAAGGCGCGAUGGUUCAUCCUUCGGCAGAACACGCUGGUGUACUACAAGCUUGAGGGGGGU
rnacentral:lncRNA from 1 species